rnacentral:tRNA from 2 species
GGAAGAGUGGCCGAGCGGCUUAAGGCAACGCCUUGCUAAGGCGUCGUGCGGGCAACCGUACCGAGGGUUCGAAUCCCUCCUCUUCCG